CUUCCUUAAAUCCUGCAAGCUCAUGCUGGGCAAGAGUGUCUCCGCAGCUAGUUUGGGAAAUACCAAGUUCAUGGGGGGAGGGGGGUAUUACAAACUGUAGCUGUAAAAACAAAAAAUGGUCACAAAUAAGGUAAAAUGAAAUAACACCUAUAAGAGUUUAUUUUAAAUCAAUGAAGAAGAAAUUUACCUAUCAUACUGACUGUGUUUUAUGAACGUACAAACCACUAAAUUGUAUAUAGAAGCAAAAAUUGAGAUGUCCACCCCCUUCAUGUUCUAUGUUAGUUGUUACCUAACUCCGUUUGAAUUUGGAGUCACAGGAAUCUUCUGCACUUGAGCGUUGAAAGACAAAAUGUAAGAGAAAACUUCGUCAAGGAAGAGAGCUGCAAGCAUUGAAGAGCGCAUGCUUUUAACAUUGACCCGUGAUGAUCUGAGGAACCUUUUUUCUGGGCCUGAGCACUUUCUCAGAAGAAAACGUGUGGUCAAUAAUUCAUCCUGAGGAAGACCAUCCGCUAUCACAGAAACCUGAAACAACUUCUUCACCCAUGGUAGUUGCUACAGGCCCUCCAACUGCUGAUGCUAAUGUAGGCCAGCUGAAAACCUUGCAGCUCCCCAGUCCUCCGGAAUAUGUUGUGUACACCGACAGUGAGUUGGAGCAAUGCCGAAAGAGUUACCUGGAGUUGGCCUGCUCCGGCAGGGAACAAGCAUGCGUCAUGUCAAAAGAACUGAGAUGCAGAUUGGUGAGAAAUACAAUCACAAGUAUGGUGUCCCUUUUGAGAGCAAGCCAAGGCCAAAUGGAGCGAUACCCCUCUAAGACCGAAAUCACUGCAAUGGCUAAAAAAAGUUGUGGAAUAUUAUCCUAUGCUGCAGGAUAAUGAUGCAAGCGUAAAACACGAGAGCAUUAAUGCCAAGUUACAAAAAAGGCUGCAAAAUAUGAAAACCCCAGUAAAAAGGCAAGGACCAACACCGGAGAGGGGACGGCCCAAGAGAAGGCUCACUGACCUCUCCCCAAGGGAUGAAGAAGCUGAUGAUGAAGAUGCUGAUCGCAGUUCUUCCAGUGGUGCAUCUACUCUGUUAUCACCUGUCAGAAAUUCUGACGAUAACUCCACUUCAUCUGACAAGGAUAGUCGGCAAAUACAAGCAAGACAUUACAAAACAUUACAAGAAAUGUGCAAGAAGGCAAAACCAAACCAAGAAGAUGUGUCCCAGCUAUUAGACCUCGAGUUUGAAGCCAGAAGAUCCUUCAUUGACUCAGACACCAUGAAAGAGGAGAACAGAGCUCGCCUCAUCUUGGAUGCAUAUCCAUGCUUUAAAGAAUUGCAUCAUGCAUUGGGUUAGCUUCGCAGAAUUUUGGAUCCCCACAACAAGUUCAUCAGUCAAAUAAAACUGAGAUGGGAAGAAUUCUGCUCCAGGGUAGAGUUCGACGGUGUGUCAAAGAAGGCAAUGAAUCCACCAAUGACCAUGGACAAAACUGAAGCCCACCUUGCACUGAUGAAGGCUCUUCCAACGCUCUUUCCCACACCUGCCCAUCCACCAAAAAAGAUGGGGAAUGCUUCUGAAGCAUUUCUACAUG